rnacentral:rRNA from 1 species
GAUCCUGGCUCAGGAUGAACGCUAGCGGCAGGCUUAAUACAUGCAAGUCGUGGGGCAGCAUGAGUAGCAAUACUUGAUGGCGACCGGCAAACGGGUGAGGAACACGUACACAACCUUCCUUCAAGCGGGGAAUAGCCCAGAGAAAUUUGGAUUAAUACCCCAUAAUAUAUUUGAUAAGGCAUCUUAUUAAUAUUAAAGCUUCGGCACUUGAUGAUGGGUGUGCGGCUAAUUAGGUAGUUGGCGGAGUAAUAGCCCACCAAGCCUACGAUCAGUAGCUGGUCUGAGAGGAUGAUCAGCCACACUGGAACUGAGACACGGUCCAGACUCCUACGGGAGGCAGCAGUAAGGAAUAUUGCUCAAUGGGGGAAACCCUGAAGCAGCAACGCCGCGUGAAGGAUGAAAUGCUUUUGUAUGUAAACUUCUGUAAGAUGGGAAAAAUAUUCUCCUCGGGAGAAUUGAUUGUACCAUCAGAGUAAGCCCCGGCUAACUACGUG